GGGACGCUAGCUCAGUUGGUAGAGCAUCGCCCUUUUAAGGCGUGGGUCGAAGGUUCGAAUCCUUCGCGGCUCACCA
rnacentral:tRNA from 1 species